ensembl:lncRNA
CCGCCACUCAGUUCCCGGUAAGCGGUCUUCACCAGGAGGUCAGAUGGAGCUCCCCCGUCCAGAGUACCACGUCCUGGUCUUCCUCCUGUCUCUCUGUCUCUCCACCCCAGGGGAUUUCAAGCAGGGGCUACGGAAUGUGUUCUCUCUUCAGGACCAGGUGAUGAGUUGGACUGAAGCCCAGUUUACUUGCAAGACUACAAAUGGUACGGGCCAGCACCGUUUAGCUAACGUCAGGAACACCUCCGAGGUGAAGAUGUUGUCUCGUGUCUGUAACGACAUACCUGAUAAUGAUCUCAACGAGGCUAAAUGUUUUGUCGGUCUUCGCAAGCGAGGCAAUACUUGGAACAGGACGGACGGGGAGGAGAACGUCCUACCCUUGCAGCCCAUGGACAAGAAUGAGAGGGACGAGAGGGACGUGAAGAAGGAGAAUGACAAGGAGAAGAAUGACAAAGACGACAAGGACGACAAGGCCAAGGACGACAAGGCCAAGGACGACAAGGACGACAAGGCCAAGGACGACAAGGACAAGAAGGACGAGAAGGACGAGAAGGACGAAUGUGCUAUUGUCUAUCAGGACAAUCUGCACAUACAUCCUUGCAAUGAUAAACUGGCCCAUAUUUGUGAGAAGUACUUUUUCGUGUUGGUGAAGGAGGAGAAGUCUUGGGAGGAAGCUCUGCUCCACUGCAGGGCAAUGGGAGUGGACAAAGGGCUUCCGCCGCGUUCGUAUGAUCUCCUCAGCUUGCACACCCACGAGGAUUUAUCCUUCGCCCAGGAAGAGCUGGUCCACGCCGGGACGAGGGAGGUGUGGGUCGGCCUGCGCUGGCUGGCGGCCCGCUGGCUGUGGAUGGACGGGGAGGAACACAGCGUCUGGAAGUGUCCCGCCGACUUGACCCACUGUGGGAGUCUGUCUAGGCAGCGUCUGGACGCCAGGAGCUGUAUGGAGAAGAGGAACUUCUUCUGUCAGCGAGUGAACGCUGUUAAUAAUGUUUAAUAUUAUUACAUAGAUGAUUCCACAAGCUGACCGUUUUUGUGCAUGUAGAUUUUAGGACAAGCUUAAAUCUAGUAGCUCUACGACAUACAUUUUUACUAUGAAUAAAUGUUGUAUGCCACUAUUGUUUUUCCUAAAAGAUUAUAUUCUCCAUUCUUCCAAUUCAUUCAGAGGACACAUUUCCCGCUCAUUCUAUAUUUAGGCACCUUCACGGUUUGGAGGGAUAUCAAUAAUGUGUUUGUUGGGGUGUGGGUGAUAUUCUAUGAUACAGUCUAUCGGUGUCUAUCACUGACAUGGUUAACUGUUGCUUGACCAAUUACUUUUCUUUUUUGUCUGUUUUUCUAUGGUUGUUUUAUUUUAGUCUUGUCAGUCUUUGUAAGCUGUUUUUGGUGUUGAGCAAUAUGUAAAGA